GAAAUGCGAUAAGUAAUGUGAAUUGCAGAAUUCAGUGAAUCAUCGAAUCUUUGAACGCACAUUGCGCCCGCCAGCAUUCUGGCGGGCAUGCCUGUUCGAGCGUCAUUUCAACCCUCGAGCCCGACUCUUUUGAGGACGGCUCGGCGUUGGGGGACGGCAGACUCCCCCCGGCAUCUCGCCGGGGACGCCGCCCCCGAAAUCUAGUGGCGGCCCUCCGAGGCGACCUCUGCGUAGUAACUUGUUCUCGCACCGGAAAGCUCAGAGCGGCCACGCCGUAAAACCCCAACUCUGGCCUCAAAUCAGGUAGGACUACCCGCUGAACUUAA
rnacentral:misc_RNA from 1 species